AUCCCUUGGGGCAUAUGCAGUAAAAUUGGAACGAUGCAGAGAAAAUUACAAUAGCCACUGCACGAGGUUGACAUGCAUAGAUCAAGAAAUGGUCCAAAUUUAA